rnacentral:ncRNA from 3 species
AACCGCCGUAUGCGGAGCCGCAUGUACGGUGGUGUGAGAGGACGGCGGGAGUGAUCCCGCCUCCUACUCGAU